rnacentral:rRNA from 1 species
GUGGGGAAUUUUGGACAAUGGGCGCAAGCCUGAUCCAGCAAUGCCGCGUGCAGGAAGAAGGCCUUCGGGUUGUAAACUGCUUUUGUACGGAACGAAACGGUCCUGGCUAAUAUCCGGGGCUAAUGACGGUACCGUAAGAAUAAGCACCGGCUAACUACGUGCCAGCAGCCGCGGUAAUACGUAGGGUGCGAGCGUUAAUCGGAAUUACUGGGCGUAAAGCGUGCGCAGGCGGUGCUGUAAGACAGGCGUGAAAUCCCCGGGCUCAACCUGGGAAUUGCGCUUGUGACUGCAGUGCUGGAGUGCGGCAGAGGGGGAUGGAAUUCCGCGUGUAGCAGUGAUAUGCGUAGAUAUGCGGAGGAACACCGAUGGCGAAGGCAAUCCCCUGGGCCUGCACUGACGCUCAUGCACGAAAGCGUGGGGAGCAAACAGGAUUAGAAACCCGGGUAGUCC